UGGGGAAUUUUGGACAAUGGGCGAAAGCCUGAUCCAGCAAUGCCGCGUGUGUGAAGAAGGCCUUCGGGUUGUAAAGCACUUUUGUCCGGAAAGAAAUCCUUGGCUCUAAUACAGUCGGGGGAUACGGUACCGGAAGAAUAAGCACCGGCUAACUACGUGCCAGCAGCCGCGGUAAUACGUAGGGUGCAAGCGUUAAUCGGAAUUACUGGGCGUAAAGCGUGCGCAGGCGGUUUGCUAAGACCGAUGUGAAAUCCCCGGGCUCAACCUGGGAACUGCAUUGGUGACUGGCAGGCUAGAGUAUGGCAGAGGGGGGUAGAAUUCCACGUGUAGCAGUGAAAUGCGUAGAGAUGUGGAGGAAUACCGAUGGCGAAGGCAGCCCCCUGGGCCAAUACUGACGCUCAUGCACGAAAGCGUGGGAG
rnacentral:rRNA from 1 species